AGCAGAGUGGUUAGCAUUUCCUGACUGAUGAGGGCCCUGAAUGUUGGAAAAACACCUGGGUACUAAUGUGUUCUCUUCAGCAAACAAGAUGCUCCUGUUUACUAGAAUCCUGUAAGGGUCCAGACCAAUCCAGUCUACUCCUGGGCCCAAGAUAUUUCCACACCAGCACCAGAAAGUGGUGUCCAACCACCAGGGAGUCCAGAAACUGCAAUCAAACAGGAACACUUCCUGGAAAAAUGAAUGGAAUGCCUUUUGCCUGCUUAUCCUUUUGUUUCCUGAUGAGGUUCACAAAUUCUUCUAAAAUCCUGGAUGCAGUUUAAGAAUGCCUAAAUCCCCAGAAAUAAGUAGAAGAGCAAGAGGAGGAAGGAGAAGCUUGAGAAAGACAACAGCCGUGAACUUUGAAGAUUACAGAGGUGAUAGAGAGGACAGCUCUGGUGGAUGGGUCUUCUGUGCCAUGAGGGAGGGAUACGGACCGGCCAUUGCAUCAGCUCAACGAUGGAUGACCCACCCUCUUGCAUCCUCUGCAUAUAGAUUUGUGAUUAAGGACCUCCAGCAGCAAGCUCUGU